UGCAGCCCCAAGUGUCAAAUCACCAGGGGAGAGUCAUCCCUGUCCUGCCCUUUCUGCUCCCCAUGUUUCCCCACGAAUCAUAUGCUCAAGUCCAUUAGCUACAAUGUUCUCUUAAUUACAUUUUGCACUGAGCCCCCCGCUCUGUUCAGAAUAAACAAAGAGAAAGCCAGUUAACUUGUUGAACCCACUGCCUCUAGAUGUGGUGAUGACCACUGGCUUUGAUGGGUUUGAAAAGGGGUUAGACACAUUUAUGUAGGAGGAGAGGUCCCUUAGUGGCUAUUAGUCAUGAUGGCUAGAGAGACCUCCAGAUGCACAGGAUGAAUCCCAAAUGCUGGGCAUAUGCAAUGGGUGAGGUUGAUGCCUUUGCACUUUUACAUGUUACAGAGGACUCAGAAGCUACAAAAGACUCAUGAAGCAGAAGGUUAGACCAUGAUGAACAUGUCCCCUCAGAAAUGCUGAUUGUAUCCGCUGAUUGUACAGUAUAUGCUACUAGUGGCUGGUGCUGGAUCAAGUCACGUUGGAAGAGAUGUGCUAUUGCCCUUCUGUUCAAAUGUUGAAGGUGACCUGGAGUUGGAGAAGGAAAUCAGUGAGGCAUCAAAGAGAGACUGGGCUGUAAUAAUGGGUGACUUCCAUUACCCGCCCAUGGACUGCGUAAAUUCAUAUUCAGCUAUUUGACCAUUACGUUUGAACAUCAACAGAGGCAAAAGGGAUGACAUUCUAGUCCUAUCUCCUAAUCCACCACACCAGUCAAAAAAGCUGGCCUGAUCCUAUUUUCUUGAGACCUGGAGACAGUAGUCAAUCUCAUCAAAACCAACAGGAUGGGAGUAAUGGUUCCUUCCCUCUGAAAUUGAACUUGUGGUUUUCUCUCUUCUCCACAAUCCUGGAGCAUCCUUCAGAAGGGCAGAGGACGGACUUCAAUGUCUUUUUUCUAUAGGUGUGUAUUUCCCCAGCAAUUUGUUCAGCUGCAUUUAAUGCGCUAAUUUUGAGGUGAAUAUUGAAAUUAGAUGACACAGCCUAAGAUGAAUACAGGAAAAAAAAAACCCACAAAAAGUCAAGUCCUCAAUCCCUUACAUAUUUGCAUUUAGAGACAUGAUUCACCAACAGUCAGGAAAGUCAUGCAGCGAAGCCCACACGUACAGCAGCAGGAAAAUAUAGCUCAUUAAACAAAGGAGAAUGUCAUCUGCAGACGAGUGUAAAAUUAAUCACAUUUCCUUCCCAUUAUGACUGUUCAGUCAGAACUGCAGUUCUGCCAUGUGCACAAAUAAACUACCGCAGGUAGCUUGCAAGGCACACUUUGUUUUAAUAUCCUCAAACAAUUACUGUAUGCAAAUAUUACUUUUGAGUACACUUGGUUUAUGCUGCUGUGUGUGAUGAAGAUUUGCCCUGUUUGACUUUACCAACUUGAUAUACUUGAUUUUCAAAGCACUUAUUAGAGUCAGAUGGUUAAUUGACCCUCCCCUCCCCAUACACACACUAACCACAGCAAUGAAAACUGAUGCUUGAAAUUGUGGCAAAAGAGGCAAAUUAAGGAGCAAAGGAUAAAAUGCUUUAGCUGAAAAAGAUAUAGAAAAUAACAACCCCCAAGUGAUCAAGUGCUUGAACCACCUUCCUUCCAAGAAAAGGUUGAAGAGUAUGAGGCUUUUCAUUUGCAAACAAAGAUGACUAAAGAUGCAAUUAGAGAUUUAACUAUUUUGUUCAAUAUAUCAACUUGUCCAACUCAUAAUGCCUGGCUGUAUUACCAAAUCAAAUAAAAACUCUUUAUUUUG